rnacentral:lncRNA from 1 species
GGAGAGAUCCCCAGGGGUGACAGCCAUGGACCCUGGAAGGGCCUGGGCUAGGGACAGGGACCAGAGCCAGUCCAGGGAGAGGACAGAGCCAAUGGACUGGGGUGUACUGUAACAGCCCUGCUGGCGAGAGGGACCAGGGCACCGUCCUCCAGGGAGCCCAUGCUGCAAGUCGGGCCAGAGGUGCCCCUGACCCUGAAGGCCAAUGAGACCCAAGACAGGCCAAGUGGGUUGUGAGACCCCUGAGGAGCUGGGCCCUGGUCCCAGGCAGCGCUGGCCCCUGCUGCUGCUGGGUCUGGCCAUGGUCGCCCAUGGCCUGCUGCGCCCAAUGGUUGCACCGCAAAGCGGGGACCCAGACCCUGGAGCCUCAGUUGGAAGCAGCCGAUCCAGCCUGCGGAGCCUGUGGGGCAGGUCAGCCCAAGGCCAACCCCACAGUCACCCUGUUCCCGCCCUCCUCUGAGGAGCUCCAAGCCAACAAGGCCACACUAGUGUGUCUGAUCAGUGACUUCUACCCGGGAGCUGUGACAGUGGCCUGGAAGGCAGAUGGCAGCCCCGUCAAGGCGGGAGUGGAGACCACCACACCCUCCAAACAGAGCAACAACAAGUACGCGGCCAGCAGCUACCUGAGCCUGACGCCUGAGCAGUGGAAGUCCCACAGAAGCUACAGCUGCCAGGUCACGCAUGAAGGGAGCACCGUGGAGAAGACAGUGGCCCCUACAGAAUGUUCAUAGGUUCCCAACUCUCACCCCACCCACGGGAGCCUGGAGCUGCAGGAUCCCAGGGGAGGGGUCUCUCUCCCCAUCCCAAGUCAUCCAGCCCUUCUCCCUGCACUCAUGAAACCCUAAUAAAUAUCCUCAUUGACA